CCUACGGGAGGCAGCAGUGGGGAAUAUUGCGCAAUGGGGGCAACCCUGACGCAGCAACGCCGCGUGCAGGAAGAAGGUCUUCGGAUUGUAAACUGUUGUCGCAAGGGAAGAAGACAGUGACGGUACCUUGUGAGAAAGUCACGGCUAACUACGUGCCAGCAGCCGCGGUAAUACGUAGGUGACAAGCGUUGUCCGGAUUUACUGGGUGUAAAGGGCGCGUAGGCGGACUGUCAAGUCAGUCGUGAAAUACCGGGGCUUAACCCCGGGGCUGCGAUUGAAACUGACAGCCUUGAGUAUCGGAGAGGAAAGCGGAAUUCCUAGUGUAGCGGUGAAAUGCGUAGAUAUUAGGAGGAACACCAGUGGCGAAGGCGGCUUUCUGGACGACAACUGACGCUGAGGCGCGAAAGUGUGGGGAGCAAACAGGAUUAGAUACCCCAGU
rnacentral:rRNA from 1 species